CGAGCCUAUCCUUGACCGACAGGUCCGGGUAAUCUUUGAAACUGCAUCGUGAUGGGGAUAGAUUAUUGCAAUUAUUAAUCUUCAACGAGGAAUGCCUAGUAAGCGCGAGUCAUCAGCUCGCGUUGAUUACGUCCCUGCCCUUUGUACACACCGCCCGUCGCUCCUACCGAUUGGAUGUGCUGGUGAAGUGUUCGGAUUGGCGGCAGUGGGCGGUUCGCCGCUUGCUGCAGCCGAGAAGUUCUCUAAACCCUCCCAUCUAGAGGAAGGAGAAGUCGUAACAAGGUUUCCGUAGGUGAACCUGCGGAAGGAUCAUUG
rnacentral:rRNA from 2 species